UACAGAGGUCCCAAGCGUUGUUCGGAUUCACUGGGCGUAAAGGGUGCGUAGGCGGUCGGGUAAGUCUGACGUGAAAUCUUCAAGCUUAACUUGGAAACUGCGUCGGAUACUAUUCGGCUCGAGGAAUGGAGGGGAGACUGGAAUACUUGGUGUAGCAGUGAAAUGCGUAGAUAUCAAGUGGAACACCAGUGGCGAAGGCGGCUUUCUGGACAGUAACUGACGCUGAGGCGCGAAAGCUAGGGGAGCAAACAGG
rnacentral:rRNA from 1 species